GUUGGGGUCUGUGGCGGGCCCUGUAAUCCAAGCUACUGGGAGACUAGAAUUUGUGGAUGGUUUGAGGUUGGGAGUCCUGCUGUGCAGUGCUACACGUUGAACCGGCGUCCGCACUAAGCUUGGCGUCAACAUGGGUACGUUGGAGGAGUCCGAGGCAUCCAGGUUGUCUAACGAGAUAUGCAAUAGAUCUAGGGGAGAAAUCCAGCAGUCUAAAGUAUCCGCGGCAAGCAGUAGUGGGAUCUCGCUGGCGAGUGGGUGCUGUUCAGUAGCCUAGUCAAUACAAGCAGACCGGGUUCCUU
rnacentral:SRP_RNA from 1 species